UACGUAGGUGGCGAGCGUUUGUCCGGAUUUACUGGGCGUAAAGAGCGCGCAGGCGGUCGUACAAGUCGCGUGUGAAAGCCCCCGGCUCAACUGGGGAGGGUCACGCGAUACUGUUCGACUCGAAGGCAGGAGAGGGAAGUGGAAUUCCCGGUGUAGUGGUGAAAUGCGUAGAUAUCGUAAGGAAGACCAGUGGCGAAGGCGGGUCUCUGGACAGUUCCUGACGCUGAGGCACGAAGGUCAGGGGAGCAAACGGG
rnacentral:rRNA from 1 species